AGAAAAGACAUUACAAGGAGCUGUGUUAUUACAUGUGACAUCUUAGAAAAUAUUUGUCAACUUCAGCCAUUGUCCUGUACAAAGGAUGCAUUUUGCAGAUGAGAAAUGAUGUACCACAGUAACUGAGAAAGCAAGGAUGGCACUAAAAGAAAGGAAUGGGGAGCCAUUUUCAGCCAGAGAGCCACAUUCCCUUCUGGACAACAUUCUGGGGAACACAUGCUAGUGGUGGAAGGAGCCAGAGGCAAAAGAGCUUAAUAAGAAUGCUAGCUAGGCAAGAACACUCAAUGAGGGUGCAAAGAAGGGCCCAUGAGGAGUGUGGCCUGAGUAGAGAGGAUGUGGCUGAGGAAGAUAUGUCGCCUUAAAGAGUCCCUGGGAGCAGAUAAAGAGGCCUGGAGUGCUGCACUUGACUGGAGAUUCCCCGCCCCUGUUAAUGUUUUAUUAUUGUUUUAAUUUUAUAUUUGUUUGCCACUGUGACAGUUUUGUAUUGAACGACAGAUAUACAUGUGUUAAUAACUAAACAAACAAACAAACAGAAAUACAAUAAAUAG